GGGUUCCUGGCACCGUGAUUUGAUGAAUAAAGAGAUAUAAAAAUCACAUUGCCAGGGAUUUCCA
rnacentral:pre_miRNA from 1 species